rnacentral:rRNA from 1 species
CCUACGGGGGGCAGCAGUAGGGAAUAUUGCUCAAUGGGCGAAAGCCUGACGCAGCGACGCCGCGUGAGGGAUGAAGGUCUUCGGAUCGUAAACCUCUGUCAGCAGGGAAGAACGGUCACUGUGCUAAUCAGCAGUGAAUUGACGGUACCUGCAAAGGAAGCACCGGCUAACUCCGUGCCAGCAGCCGCGGUAAUACGGAGGGUGCGAGCGUUAAUCGGAAUUACUGGGCGUAAAGCGCUCGUAGGCGGUAUGUCAAGUCAAGGGUGAAAUCCCCGCGCUCAACGUGGGAACUGCCUUUGAAACUGGCGAACUUGAGUGUGUGAGAGGAUAGUGGAAUUCCAGGUGUAGGAGUGAAAUCCGUAGAUAUCUGGAGGAACAUCAGUGGCGAAGGCGACUAUCUGGCACGUAACUGACGCUGAGGAGCGAAAGCGUGGGUAGCAAACAGGAUUAGAUACCCGGGUAGUC